rnacentral:rRNA from 1 species
UACGUAGGUGGCAAGCGUUGUCCGGAAUUACUGGGCGUAAAGAGCGCGCAGGCGGCUGGUCAAGUCCGAUGUGAAAGCUUCCGGCUUAACUGGGAAAUUGCAUCGGAAACUGAUCGGCUUGAAGGUGGGAGAGGGUAGUGGAAUUCCCGGUGUAGUGGUGAAAUGCGUAGAUAUCAGGAGGAACACCUGUGGUGUAGACGGCUUACUGGACCAUGACUGACGCUGAGGCGCGAAAGCGUGGGGAGCAAACAGG